AAGUCGUAACAAGGUUUCCGUAGGUGAACCUGCGGAAGGAUCAUUACAGUAGUCGCCCGGGUUGCCGCAAGGCCUCCCGGGUAACCUACCACCCUUUGUUUAUUACACUUUGUUGCUUUGGCAAGCCUGCCCUCGGGCUGCUGGCUCCGGCCGGCGAGCGCUUGCCAGAGGACCUAAACUCUGUUUGUCUAUACUGUCUGAGUACUAUAUAAUAGUUAAAACUUUCAACAACGGAUCUCUUGGUUCUGGCAUCGAUGAAGAACGCAGCGAAAUGCGAUAAGUAAUGUGAAUUGCAGAAUUCAGUGAAUCAUCGAAUCUUUGAACGCACAUUGCGCCCCCUGGUAUUCCGGGGGGCAUGCCUGUCCGAGCGUCAUUACAACCCUCAAGCUCAGCUUGGUGUUGGGCCCCGCCGCCCCGGCGGGCCCUAAAGUCAGUGGCGGUGCCGUCCGGCUCCGAGCGUAGUAAUUCUUCUCGCUCUGGAGGUCCGGUCGUGUGCUCGCCAGCAACCCCCAAUUUUUUUCAGGUUGACCUCGGAUCAGGUAGGGAUACCCGCUGAACUUAA
rnacentral:rRNA from 1 species